GCUAACUCGGGUGACGGAGGCGGGGUAAUACGGAGGGUGGAAGCGUUAAUCGGAAUCACUGGGCGUAAAGCGCACGUAGGCGGGUUGGUAAGUCAGGGGUGAAAUCCCACAGCCCAACUGUGGAACUGCCUUUGAUACUGCCAGGCUUGAGUACCGGAGAGGGUGGCGGAAUUCCAGGUGUAGGAGUGAAAUCCGUAGAUAUCUGGAGGAACACCGGUGGCGAAGGCGGCCACCUGGACGGUAACUGACGCUGAGGUGCGAAAGCGUGGGUAGCAAACAGGAUUAGAUACCCGAGUAGUC
rnacentral:rRNA from 1 species